CUGAGGCUCAGUCACUGUAUUCCAGGCACUGUUCCAGGCUCUGGGGAUAGGGGUAACAUCCUGUUGUUGCAGAGCUUACAUCACAGUGGACAGAUCAGUGGAUAACCUAGCAAAUCAACAGAAUGACCCAUGCACAAGUGGGAUAAAUAGAAAACAAAUGAUGCAGGUGCUGUUCAAGAAUUUCAUGUGAGUAAUGUGAUAAAUAAUGUUACAAUAGUUAGGGUGGGGAAUUUGGGAGCAAGGCGUUUGUGCAGAGGUCUGAAUGAACCAGAAAGCAACGGUGUGUUGGCAGGGGCACCACUGGAAUCUUUUAUUUCCAUUGAGAACGGACCUGAGCUGAGAUAUUUGAUAUCUACAGAUGCAAAAACUUGACUGAGUUCAGAAAGUAAUACCUGAGAGACCAUCAGGGUGGCCUAGAAUAUGUCCUGUGAAAGGGCCAUAAUUGGGAAUGUGGGUAUCCUCUAGGAGUCAAUAGUGAACCAGAGGAUAGCCACCAACAACCACAGGAGCUGAGCACAAGCCUUGCUUUCAGGAAACACAGUUAAGGUGCUCUCAGGUUCCUGUUCCUUGAGACUGCAAGAUCAUGGCUAUGCCGAAUAAAACUUCUGUCUGUGGAACA
rnacentral:lncRNA from 1 species